AGAGUUUGAUCAUGGCUCAGGAUGAACGCUGGCGGCGUGCCUAAUACAUGCAAGUCGAACGGGGUGUUUGAGCAAUCGGACACUUAGUGGCGAACGGGUGAGUAACGCGUUGGUGACCUACCCCAAAGCGGGGGAUAACAGCCUGAAAGGGUUGCUAAUACCGCAUAUAGUCUAGAGGGCUUAGAAGCUUUAGAUAAAAGGAGAAAUCCACUUUGGGAGGGGCCUGCGUCCCAUCAGCUAGUUGGUAGGGUAAAAGCCUACCAAGGCGAUGACGGGUAGGGGACCUGAGAGGGUGACCCCCCACAAUGGAACUGAAACACGGUCCAUACACCUACGGGUGGCAGCAGUAGGGAAUAUUGCACAAUGGGCGAAAGCCUGAUGCAGCAACGCCGCGUGAGUGAUGAAGGCCUUCGGGUUGUAAAACUCUUUUCAAGAGGAAGAGGAAGGACGGUACUCUUGGAAUAAGCCUCGGCUAACUACGUGCCAGCAGCCGCGGUAACACGUAGGAGGCGAGCGUUAUUCGGAUUUACUGGGCGUAAAGCGCGUGUAGGCGGCUCUAUAAGUUGGAUGUAAAAGCUCCCGGCUUAACUGGGAGAGGACGUUCAAAACUAUAGAGCUUGAGUACGAGAGAGGAAAAUGGAAUUCCGGGUGUAGUGGUGAAAUGCGUAGAUAUCCGGAGGAACACCAGUGGCGAAGGCGAUUUUCUGGCUCGAGACUGACGCUCAGACGCGAAAGCUAGGGUAGCAAACGGGAUUAGAGACCCCGGUAGUCCUAGCUGU
rnacentral:rRNA from 1 species